CCUACGGGAGGCAGCAGUGAGGAAUAUUGGUCAAUGGCCGGAAGGCUGAACCAGCCAAGCCGCGUGAAGGAUGAAGGUCCUAUGCAUUGUAAACUUCUUUUGUCAGGGGAUAAAAUCAGGCUCGUGAGCCUGACCGUGGGUACUUGAAGAAUAAGCAUCGGCUAACUCCGUGCCAGCAGCCGCGGUAAUACGGAGGUAUCGAGCGUUAUUCGGAUUUAUUGGGGUUAAAGGGUGCGUAGGCGGGGUUGUAAGGCAGGGGUGAAAGGCGCGGGCUCAACCCGCGGGGAGCGGUUGAUACUGGCUGUCUUGAGUGGUGGAGAGGUAGGCGGAAUGCGCGGUGUAGCGGUGAAAUGCUUAGAUAUUGAGCAGAACUCCGAUGGCGAAGGCAGCAUACUGGACGCGAACUGACGCUGAGGCACGAAAGCGUGGGGAGCGAACAGGAUUAGAUACCCCGGUAGUC
rnacentral:rRNA from 1 species